UGGUGGUGCAUGGCCGUUCUUAGUUGGUGGAGUGAUCUGUCUGGUUAAUUCCGAUAACGAACGAGACCUCAGCCAUCUAACUAGCUGUCGCUAACUUGUUAGUGCUUAACCCAGGUUAAGUUCAGCUUCUUAGAGGGACAAUCUGUGUUCAGCAGAUGGAAGAUUGAGGCAAUAACAGGUCAGUGAUGCCCUUAGAUGCUCUGGGCUGCACGCGCGCUACAAUGACGCACACAACAAGUUCCUUGCUCGAAAGAGUUAGGUAAUCUUUAAUGUGCGUCCAAGUAGGGAUAGAUGAUUGUAAUUGU
rnacentral:rRNA from 1 species